rnacentral:rRNA from 1 species
AGAGUUUGAUCAUGGCUCAGGACGAACGCUGGCGGCGCGCCUAAUGAAUGCGAGUCGAACGAGAAGCAGACAGUUGAUCUCUUCGGAGUGAUUCAGUCUGUGGAGAGUGGCGUACGGGUGAGUAACACGUGGGUAACCUGCCUCCGAGACGGGUAUAACACAGGGAAACUUGUGCUAAUCCCCGAUAGACUACCGGCACGAAGGUGCUGACUAGUAAAGGCUUCGGCCGCUUGGAGAUGGGCCCGCGUCUCAUUAGCUAGUUGGUGAGGUAACGGCUCACCAAGGCGACAAUGGGUAGCCGGUCUGAGAGGAUGAUCGGCCACACUGGAGCUGAGAAUGAUCCAGACUCCUACGGGAGUUAGCAUCAGGGAAUCUUGCACAAUGAGCGAAAGCUUGAUGCAGCGACGCCGCGUGUGUGAUGAAGGCCUUAGGGUCGUAAAGCACUGUCAGGAGGGAAGAAUGCCUCAUCUUCGGUGAGGAGCGACAGUACCUCCAGAGGAAGCCCCGGCUAACUACGUGCCAGCAGCCGCGGUAAAACGUAGGGGGCCAGCGUUGUCCGGAAUUACUGGGCGUAAAGAGCGCGUAGGCGGCUUGAUAAGCGGAGAGUGUAAUCCCGAGGCUCAACCUCGGAACUGCUUUCCGAACUGUCAGGCUAGAGUGCGGGAGAGGGUAGUGGAAUUCCUGGUGUAGCGGUGGAAUGCGUAAAUAUCAGGAGGAACACCGGUGGCGAAGGCUGCUACCUGGAACGCAACUGACGCUGAGGCGCGAAAGCUAGGGGAGCGAACGGGAUUAGAUACCCCGGUAGUCCUAGCCGUAAACGAUGGACACU